CACGUAGGGCGCAAGCGUUGUCCGGAAUUAUUGGGCGUAAAGAGCUCGUAGGCGGUCUGUUGCGUCUGCUGUGAAAACCCAGGGCUUAACCCUGGGCUUGCAGUGGAUACGGGCAGACUAGAGGCAGGUAGGGGAGAAUGGAAUUCCCGGUGUAGCGGUGAAAUGCGCAGAUAUCGGGAGGAACACCGGUGGCGAAGGCGGUUCUCUGGGCCUGACCUGACGCUGAGGAGCGAAAGCGUGGGUAGCAAACAGG
rnacentral:rRNA from 1 species